AUUUAGUGUUAUACAUAGUUAGGCAGGGCUCCCAGGAAAAUUUCCUACAUUUCAAUUCCCUCGGAAUUAAAAUCACCACAAAAAUAAAUGUAUUUGUUUUUCUAUGACGUUAAAAAAAAGGGCUAAAAUAUUUCAAAAACACCUAGUUCAAGUUCCACAUUGUAAUUAUUAAUUUUAGUUUGAAUUUUGAAUUGAGAGGAUCGAGUGAGGAGACUUUUUUCUUCAAUAUGAUUUCUGUUAAGUUCGUUUCUCAUCAUGCCAAAAAUGUUUUAUUCCUAAUUUUUAUUCUGGUUAUGAAACUGAAUCAACGAAUAUCUCCAUGUCGCCUCAUUCUUUCUCUCAGAACGAAUACUCUGUUAUUCUUAGACAAAGGACCUUCUGAAUAUUCAAGAUUUUUUUCACCCCACUUUUAGUAUGGUGACUUCGUCUCCGAUAUUAUUGACAAACGAAGGGAAUUUCGAAAAUACUAGUUACAUGAUAAUGCCUGAAGGAGAAUAAACUUCAAAAAAGUUAUUUUCCGCCUUUUGCUAUUCACAUAUUUCGAAAUCUCUCUCCGUUCAGAAAUGAAAAUGUCAAAGAACCACUUCCAAAGCAACUAUGUCUGCUAGGACAUCAAGUGAAAAUGAAGCAUAACUCAAGCUUUCAUUCAUAAGGAUUGUGUCAUUGAUUUCAAAGAUUUCUGCACACAUUGUCGAAAACGCUUCCAAUACUAAUUGAAAUAAAAAUCACUGUUAAUGUUAAGAAAGAUAUGUUGUUCGUCCUGUAAUAUAAGAAUUUCGAAGUAUGCGCCAAUAACUUUUUACUGCUAAUACAUUUAUAUACAUCAUAGAAGAAAAAUAAUUGCAAUGAAAUACUUAAAUGUAAAUUUUGAUAUGACCAGCUCGUGGAUCAAAAGGUUUCCCCUCUACUAGACGAAAGAAAAUCAUUCCAAGACUACUCGAUCAAAUUAAUAGAAUCCAAUUUACGUUAAUUUUCUAUGUUUCUGUAAAUAUAACUUAUCUAUAGCCUGGUAGUGAAUAUGAGAGUAAAUACAUUAUGGAAGAAGAA
rnacentral:lncRNA from 1 species